GGGGAUGUGGCUCAAGCGGUAGCGCGCUUGCCUGGCAUGCAAGGGGCGCUAAGUUCGAUCCUUAGCACCACA
rnacentral:tRNA from 1 species